UACGAAGGGUGCAAACGUUGCUCGGAAUUAUUGGGCGUAAAGCGCACGUAGGCGGCAUCGCAAGUCCCAUGUGAAAGCCCACGGCUUAACCGUGGAAGUGCAUGGGAAACUGCAGUGCUUGAGUACUUAAGAGGAUCGCGGAAUUCCCGGUGUAGAGGUGAAAUUCGUAGAUAUCGGGAGGAACACCAGUGGCGAAGGCGGCGAUCUGGGGAGAUACUGACGCUGAGGUGCGAAAGCGUGGGGAGCAAACAGG
rnacentral:rRNA from 1 species